UGACUGCGUACCUUUUGUAUAAUGGGUCAGCGACUUAUAUUCUGUAGCAAGGUUAACCGAAUAGGGGAGCCGAAGGGAAACCGAGUCUUAACUGGGCGUUAAGUUGCAGGGUAUAGACCCGAAACCCGGUGAUCUAGCCAUGGGCAGGUUGAAGGUUGGGUAACACUAACUGGAGGACCGAACCGACUAAUGUUGAAAAAUUAGCGGAUGACUUGUGGCUGGGGGUGAAAGGCCAAUCAAACCGGGAGAUAGCUGGUUCUCCCCGAAAGCUAUUUAGGUAGCGCCUCGUGAAUUCAUCUCCGGGGGUAGAGCACUGUUUCGGCAAGGGGGUCAUCCCGACUUACCAACCCGAUGCAAACUGCGAAUACCGGAGAAUGUUAUCACGGGAGACACACGGCGGGUGCUAACGUCCGUCGUGAAGAGGGAAACAACCCAGACCGCCAGCUAAGGUCCCAAAGUCAUGGUUAAGUGGGAAACGAUGUGGGAAGGCCCAGACAGCCAGGAUGUUGGCUUAGAAGCAGCCAUCAUUUAAAGAAAGCGUAAUAGCUCACUGGUCGAGUCGGCCUGCGCGGAAGAUGUAACGGGGCUAAACCAUGCACCGAAGCUGCGGCAGCGACGCU
rnacentral:rRNA from 1 species